GAUGAACGCUGGCGGCAUGCCUAAGACAUGCAAGUCGAACGAAGGGACCCAAUGAAAGCUGCGUGCUUGCACAAAGCCGGAUUUGGAUCAUCCCUUAGUGGCAAACGGGUGAGUAACACGUGGGUUACCUACCUUUAAGUUGGGGAUAACAGUUGGAAACGAUUGCUAAUACCGAAUGUGAUCUACGGAUUAAAGGAGCCUUUAAAGCUCCGCUUAGAGAUGGGCCUGCGGCGUAUUAGCUUGUUGGUGGGGUAAUGGCCUACCAAGGCGACGAUACGUAGCCGAACUGAGAGGUUAAUCGGCCACACUGGGACUGAGACACGGCCCAGACUCCUACGGGAGACAGCAGUUAGGAAUAUUCGUCAAUGGGGGAAACCCUGAACGAGCAAUGCCGCGUGAGUGAUGACGGUCCUCUGGAUUGUAAAACUCUGUUGUUUGGAAAGAAAUGUUAGAAUAGGAAAUGAUUCUAAUUUGACGGUACCAUUCAAGAAAGCCACGGCUAACUACGUGCCAGCAGCCGCGGUAAUACGUAGGUGGCGAGCGUUAUCCGGAUUUAUUGGGCGUAAAGCGUCCGCAGCCGGCUUAUUAAGUCUAGAAUAAAAGCCUGGAGCUUAACUCCAGUUCGUUCUAGAAACUGGUAGGCUUGAGUGUGGUAGAGGCAAGUGGAAUUUCUAGUGUAGCGGUAGAAUGCGUAGAUAUUAGAAGGAACACCAGUGGCGAAGGCGACUUGCUGGGCCACCACUGACGGUCAGGGACGAAAGCGUGGGGAGCAAAUAGGAUUAGAUACCCUAGUAGUCCACGCCGUAAACGAUGAGUACUAAGUGUCGGGUUACCGGUGCUGAAGUUAACACAUUAAGUACUCCGCCUGAGUAGUACGGUCGCAAGGCUGAAACUCAAAGGAAUUGACGGGCACCCGCACAAGCGGUGGAGCAUGCUGUUUAAUUCGAAAAUACGCGAAGAACCUUACCUAGACUUGACAUCCCCGGCAAAACUCUGGAAACAGAGUGGAGGUUAUCCGGGUGACAGGUGGUGCAUGGUUGUCGUCAGCUCGUGUCGUGAGAUGUUUGGUUAAGUCCAAUAACGAGCGCAACCCUCGUCUUUAGUUGCUAACAUUUAGUUGAGAACUCUAAAGAUACUGCCAGUGCAAGCUGGAGGAAGGUGGGGAUGACGUCAAAUCAUCAUGCCCCUUACGUCUAGGGCUACAGGCGUGCUACAAUGGCCGAUACAACGAGUUGCAACAUGGUGACAUGAAGCUAAUCUCUUAAAGUCGGUCCCAGUCCGGAUUGGAGUCUGCAACUCGACUCCAUGAAGUUGGAAUCGCUAGUAAUCCCGAAUCAGAAUGUCGGGGUGAAUACGUUCCCGGGUGUUGUACACACCGCCCGUCACGCCAUGGGAGUCUGUAAUACCUGAAGCCGGUAGCCUAACCUUUUAGGAGGGGGCCGUCCAGGGUAGGACAGGUGACUGGGGUGAAGUCGUAACAAGGUAUCCCUACGAGAACGUGGGGAUGGAUCACCUCCUUUCUAUGGAGUAUAACUAAAUAGAAAAACAACCGUAUAAGAACUUCGGGGCUUGCAUCUUAUCGAUGAAAAGUUCUUGUUAGAGCUAUUUAUGACUCGUUUUACUUAGUUUUGAGAGAUUAUUUCUCUCAGAUUUUGUUCUUUGAAAACUAGAUAAUGCGUUGUUAAUUUUUAUUAACAAUAUAAAUGAGUAGUCAUUAUAAUAAUGACAUUAAGAUCUCAUAACUCAUCAAAUUUAGGAAAAUGGUGGUUAAAUUAAUAAGGGCGUAUGGUGGAUGCCUUGGCAUUAGAAGACGAUGAAGGACGCGACAAACAGCGAUAUGCUUCGGGGAGCAGUAAGUAUGCUUUGAUCCGGAGAUCUCCGAAUGAGGAAACUCACUUACAGUAACGUGUAAGUAUCAUAUACUGAAUACAUAGGUAUAUGAGGACAACCCUGUGAACUGAAACAUCUAAGUAGCAGGAGGAAAAGAAAGAAAAAUCGAUUACCUUAGUAGUGGCGAGCGAAACGGUAAGAGCCCAAACCAGUCUUAGGACUGGGGUUGUAGGACACUAUAUACGGAGUUACAAAAUUUCUUGAUAGCUGAACAUUUUGGAAAAUUUGGCUGGAAAGGGUGAAAGCCCCGUAAGCGAAAUCAUGAAAUCUCUAUAGUGUAUCCUGAGUACGGCGGGACACGAGUAAUCUUGUCGGAAUCCACGGGGACCAUCCCGUAAGGCUAAAUACUUUCUAAUGACCGAUAGUGAACA
rnacentral:rRNA from 1 species